AAAGAGGACCCUGAACUCAGGAGCUCAUGGGAGCAUCUCUGUGUAGGAGCAUUAAGUCCAGUAAUCGACACACUCAAGCUGAUUCAAGCAUUUUCUGUGGUUUCCUCUGUGUGUUAAGAGCCUAGAGAUGAAUAACGGACGCAUGCUGGUGGGUUUAAGCAUCUUGCACGAUCCUGUGCUCUAUAGACCAAUAAUGGAUGCACCUGAAUUGGUUAAGCAUUGACCAUGAUUAGGAGCUCUGCUGGUUGUCCUGUGUAUAAGUACAUGUAGUCCAUAUUGGAUCCUCCAAGCUGAGUAAGAUUGUCAUGUUGCCUCCAUGUCAGGAAAGAGACAAA